GGCGGAGUGGCUGAGUGGUUAUAGCGAGAGACUAGAAUUGGUGAAACCGGUCAUCUCUUGGGUUCGCCCGCGCAGGUUCGAAUCCUGUCUCCGUCG
rnacentral:tRNA from 1 species